UAUGGUAACCACAUUCAAAUGUUGCUGUUUUUUUAAACCAGAAUUCAAAAUUGAAUUGACUUUGAAACCAUACAUUGAUGAACUGCAGCAAAGUUCGAAAAAGUAUUUCCACAGGUUCACACUUUACGGAUCAAUACCCAGCAAAACGAAACUUUGUUCAAACACAAGCGCAGCCUUCUCGCAAUCAGAGUCCUGUUAAUUUCAUUGUUGGUGGCAGGAGUUAAAACACCUAUAUUGCAUUUCACAACAACCGAGAACCCAAACAAGACAUUUUAAGGAAUCGAAAUGUUGCCAUUAACCCUCAUGGACCAUCAACACGCAGGAUUACGCAAAGACCACUAAACCGCUUUCCCCCAAACUCGGCGGGGGGAUGGGGCCUGGGCCUGGGAAGGAGGCCAUUGCAUUUGGGUGCAGAUGACGAUUAAGGGGCAGAUCCAGGAAUUUCUUUUUCACUUUCUUUCACCAUGUUUUCUGACAAAUAAACCGUUCGUGUUGUCCAACCACUUAGUGUUUUUUGUCUGUAUUUCUAUUAUAAGAACUAGACAAUCGUGUGAAGGAUUGUUCGGCUUUGGCAGAGAGGUGGUGAUGGAGGUAUUUGCUCUACUAGGUGCUAUUCUUCUCAAAGUGAUGAUGUGAAUAAGGAGUGAGAGGGUUGUAUUCACAUGUUGCUGUCAGAGAUCUGGUGUGUAGUAUACUGUUGUCCUGCAUAACACUGAAAAAAGUCCAAAUGACUACCUCUAUUCCUCGGUUUUAACAUUUUGGCUCUUGCUAUACAGUAGGACACUGAUUCACAAAAACAGAAUGGGACGCAGCUUCACUCUUUCUCUCAUAAAACAAUU